CCUUCCGUUCUUCUUCUUCACGCCCGCGCCUGCACCAGGAUCUCACCGUGCGUGCCACCACGUCGAGCUGCCUCGUUUGAUUCCUUGCCACAAGUGGAGCACGCCGAGACACCCUUCUUUUCCCCACGAUCUCGACCAACUCCCCUUCCCCUCGCUGAGUAUUUCUUUCCUUUUUUUCUCCGUCGUUUACGGAAAUUGGUCGGAGUCGAUCCCCACCGAUUUGGAGCCCGAUUCGCCCCGGCCUCGCCUCUAUCAGUACCACUCGAACCCCCGCCAUCGAUUCCGAGCACCAGCGCCCCCUCCCGUGCCUCGCUGCUCUCUGUCAGCGCUCGUUGUCGCCGUCGCACCACCGUUCGCGCCAAGGGUGCCAUCGUGCUCCCCGGAGCUCGCUGCUGCUUCCCCGAUCAUCUCCGAGCUCUUUACGGUCCUCUAGGCGUGGUACCCCGACCCCGCCGGAGUUCAUUGCGCCGCCACCGCUCGUCGUCGACCUCCUCCGCUACCCCGACCCCCUCGGUAGACCUGUGCAAACAUCGGGGGGUCAUUUAAUACGACCCGUACCUCACUCGUGUCUAAUGUUAGGUCAGGUUGGCCCGUGCCUCCCUGUUUGACGUGUCGAGUUAAGUUUUUUUUGGGUUGGGUCGGAUUUGUUGGCUUUGGGUCGAGUUUUUUUUUUGUUGGGUCGGGUUUUGGAUAAAAAUUAUGGCCCAUGAAUUAUUGUGGGUCAAAAAUUAUAAUCCAUACCCGUCUGUUGCAUUGGUUGGAUCGAGCCAGACCAAGUCUUUUUUUGAGCGGGUUGGGUUGGUCGGGUCGGGUGACCCAUGAUCAGAUCUAAUUACAUUAUUGGCAAGCCAUUCUAGGUAAGUAACUUUCCUGAUUACCCCAACACUUAGAAGCCUUUUGACUUCUGCUCUUGCUCCUUCAGCUUUGUCUUUUGACAUUUUUCUCAGUUUUUGCUUUCUUGGUCUGGUUGAAGGAUCCACGUUGAGAGAGUGCUCAAUGAUGUUUCUAUUUACUCCACGUAAAUCAUCAGUUGAGCAAGCAAAUACGUCUCUAUUGUUGAACAAGAACUUUUAAGCUUUUUUCUUGCUCUUC